AGUACGUUCGCAAGAAUGAAACUCAAAGGAAUUGACGGGGGCCCGCACAAGCGGAGGAGCAUGUGGUUAAAUUCGAUGAUACGCGAGGAACCUUACCAAGGCUUAAAUGUAAUAUGACCGGUUGAGAGAUCAACCUUUUUUCGAACAGAUUACAAGGUGCUGCAUGGUUGUCGUCAGCUCGUGCCGUGAGGUGUCGGGUUAAGUCCCAUAACGAGCGCAACCCCUAUUUUUAGUUACCAGCGAUUAAUGUCGGGAACUCUAGAAAAACUGCCUGUGCAAACAGAGAGGAAGGUGGGGAUGACGUCAAAUCAUCACGGCCCUUAUGUCUUGGGCUACACACGUGCUACAAUGGUUACUACAAUGUGAUGCCAUCUGGUGACAGAGAGCUAAUCAAUAAAGGUAAUCUCAGUUCGGAUUGGAGUCUGCAACUCGACUCUAUGAAGUUGGAUUCGCUAGUAAUCGUAUAUCAGCCAUGAUACGGUGAAUACGUUCCCAGGCCUUGUACACACCGCCCGUCAAGCCAUGGAAGUUUGGGGUACCUGAAGUCAGUAACCGCAAGGAACUGCCUAGGGUAAAACAAAUAACUAGGGCUAAGUCGUAACAAGGUAACC
rnacentral:rRNA from 1 species